CUCAAAAAAAACCAAAAAAAACAAAACCAACCUAAGCUAUUGUUAUUUCUCUUUGUUCUCAUUCAUUUCACAAACAUUGGAAACCUAACAUAUGUUAUAUACUGGUGCUAUAGCUACGAAAGAUAGAGCCCUUAAAGGGCUGUCUUUCAAGGAGCUUUCAAACUAUGUGUGUGUAUGCUAGGAGUAGGGUGGUAGGGUAUCUGAUAAGGUAGACUAUACUGAAGAAUGUAAAACUAAUAAGCUUAGGGUAAGCAACAAACCCAGAUGAAUUUGGGACCAUAUUUCCAUAAUUCCAGAAGAGGUACAUGGAAAGGUUCCUGGAGGAAGUUAUAUUUGAACAAAGUCUUGAAUUAUAGCAAGGAUCUUGAAGGGCUUUGUGUGCUACAGGAAGUGUACACAUUGAAGAAUUUUAAGCAGUUAGACUGAUCACAGCUGCUUUUUGAAAGUUCAUAUUGGCUGUGAUGUGUCCUUUGUUAACUUUCUGUCUUUGUGCUUUAUUAUUAUUUUUUUACUCCAUCAAGAAGGGCUUAUAUUCUCUCCUCAUACCUUAAUAUUAACUGUUUAUCUUUCAGUUUCUAGUGUAGGUCCAUUUCUUGUGUGAAACAUUAUCCAAUUAUUUUAGCCCCCUACUUAUUAGUUCUCUAAAACCAUAUUAGAAAAAUUGAUAGUAACACACUUUAAUCCUUAUUUGUUUUAUGUUUGUUUUAUGUCCGUAAGUAGGUUUUAAGUAUAGAGAAUGUUUCUUAUGUAUGAAUAGAAGGCAUGUUAAAAAAAUUUGUUGCUUGAUCUCUUUGUAUUUUGUUUUUCAGUGUAGUAACAGAUUAUGGGCAAUAGUCCUUUUAAUUAAUCUAUCAUCAUCAUGGCCAAUGAGGGCUAUCCCAAGGCUACCGAUAGUCCUUUUUCAUCAGAUAAACAUGCCCAACUCAUCUUGGCCCAAAUCAAUAAGAUGAGAAGUGGACAGCAUUUCUGUGAUGUGCAGCUGCAAGUUGGAAAGGAAACUUUUAAAGCUCAUCGGCUGGUUUUGGCUGCCAGCAGUCCUUACUUUGCAGCUUUGUUCACUGGAGGAAUGAAAGAGUCUUCAAAAGAUGUUGUACCGAUUCUAGGAAUCGAAGCUUCAAUCUUUCACAUACUUCUAGAUUUCAUUUACACAGGUAUAGUGCACACAGGUGUGA